rnacentral:lncRNA from 1 species
GCAUUUUCUGCAGCUCAGUACCCUCUUUUGGGAACCCAUCCAAGCCUCAGGGGCUCAGGGCCGCCGGGAGGCAGAGGCCAGGGUGACUUCAAUAAAACCUGCUGGGAUUAGUGACCGGCUGAGACGUCAGUUUUGACACCCACGACCUGUAUCUAGUAUCUUCAGUAAACCUCUAAGACCGGUGGCUUUCCACCAUCAAAGUGAGUUUCCUCGGGCAUCCUCUUUUUGUCGGCCAUUCCCUCUGCAGUUUCUCCUGUUGUUUUCUGCGGAAAUGACCAUCUGGCGGGACUUCCUACUCAUGACCACGAGAGGGCACAAGAUUUCCAGCUCUCGAGGUUUGUUCCACAGCCAAUUCCUGGGGCUUUGCUACAUGAAAGGACAGUUUCUGUGUUUGUUGGUUUGUUUGCGCCCCCCGCCCCGAAACAGGGAGAAAGCACUAGAGGUUCCCCGGAUACAGCUAAGACAUUUUCUACAGCAUUCAUCUGUGAAAUGCUGGCUGCAAGCAGCAGACAUUGGGAGGUGGGAGGAAGGACUCGGUUCUUCCCAUCUCUCAUUUCCACCGAGGGGAGAAGCGCUUGCAGAACGCUGCACAAGAUCUGGGGGAGAAACCAUAAAGACAAAAACCGAAGAAAUCUGGGCCACAGGAACAAUAUCUUACCUUGGAUAUCAUCUGAGAAUACUCUGACAACUGGUUUGUGAAGCACUUGCAGACCGUAAGCAGACUUUCAAAAUUCCUG